rnacentral:lncRNA from 1 species
CGUGUUCAUGUCAAGCGCCUUCAUCCCGGGCACCGCCUGGAUCAUGCCGAUGUCCUGGAGCCGCUUGACCCCGGUGGCGCCGAAGGGCCCGUCGUGGCCGCAGGAGCUCACCACGACCUUGGCCUCCAUGACGUUGGGGUCCAUGCAGGACUGUGUGUCGUGGUUCAUGGAGACGAGCGCCCAGUUGGUGACGACUCCGGCGACGCGGUUCUCCUUGACGAUGAGGUCCUCCACGGCGACGGCGUUGAAGAGCUUGACGUUGGGGCGCGCGAGGAGGCGGCUCAUGAUGGUGGAGGUGAAGAGCGCGGCGUGCUUGAUGACGACGUAGUCCUCCUGCUCGUCGUACUCGAUGUUGAGCUCGUCGAGGAAGAGGUGCGCCGGCUUGCGCACGACCAUGGCGGAGAAGAGCUGUCCGCCGAGCCACGCGCCGCCGCCGGGGGACACGGACUGCUCGAUGAUGGCGAUGCUGAUGGAGGGGUCCUUGGAGAGCUCGUACGCGCAGGACAGCCCCGCGGACCCGGCGCCGACGAUGACGACGUCGGUGUCGGCGUAGGUGAUCAUGAANNNNNNNNNNNNNNNNNNNNNNNNNNNNNNNNNNNNNNNNNNNNNNNNNNNNNNNNNNNNNNNNNNNNNNNNNNNNNNNNNNNNNNNNNNNNNNNNNNNNNNNNNNNNNNNNNNNNNNNNNNNNNNNNNNNNNNNNNNNNNNNNNNNNNNNNNNNNNNNNNNNNNNNNNNNNNNNNNNNNNNNNNNNNNNNNNNNNNNNNNNNNNNNNNNNNNNNNNNNNNNNNNNNNNNNNNNNNNNNNNNNNNNNNNNNNNNNNNNNNNNNNNNNNNNNNNNNNNNNNNNNNNNNNNNNNNNNNNNNNNNNNNNNNNNNNNNNNNNNNNNNNNNNNNNNNNNNNNNNNNNNNNNNNNNNNNNNNNNNNNNNNNUUGUGUGGAGCUGUGCUAGCUUCUUUUUUGCUGAGAUGGGUGGAGACCGGAGACUGAUGAUAAGGGGGAGUGUGAGUGGCAGGGUAUAAGAAGAGGAGGAGAGGCGAAAUAUCUGCAGAUUGUGGGUACGUGCUGCCAGAUCUGAGCAUGUCACAGACUUUGGACUCAUUCGGGAUAUUUUUGUGGAGCACCUGGGAUCCUCUGUCAAUCUCUACUAGUACUACCGUAUCAAAAAUGAGAGCUGGUUCCUUUGGCUCGCCUUCUUGCUCGGUUUUUUCCUUUCCACCCAUCCUCUUUCUUCUUGGUUUUCAGUUGAAUUUUACCCUCAACCGAUACCGCAUAAAACUAAUAUAAAUAGAGUAACAUAACCUAAACCAAAUCGAUACAUUUUUCGAAUAACAUCCAACAUUAACUCAACCAAACCAAAUCAAAUCUUCUCCGGAUCACAACUAGAUUAAAAAAAAUCUUUCUUUUCUGUAUGGUACCCAAAUCAAACCAAAUCUUAUCAAACCUCAACUAAAUUUAAAACUUUUUUUAUUGCGUUCUCGUACUCAAAUCAAAUUAAAUCUCGUAAAUUGAUGGAUGUAAAGCAUAUGUCACAUAUAAUUAGUGUUGACAUGUUUUCGUUACAAUGCACGAUUAAUUAACUUGUUUUGGUUGUUAUCGUGGAGUUAAACCCUUUCAAAAGAAGUAAGCCGAUAACUCAUUUUUGUUUUUUUUUUUGCACUGAAGUCAGCAAUGACACCAUCCUAGGACAUGAGNNNNNNNNNNNNNNNNNNNNNNNNNNNNNNNNNNNNNNNNNNNNNNNNNNNNNNNNNNNNNNNNNNNNNNNNNNNNNNNNNNNNNNNNNNNNNNNNNNNNNNNNNNNNNNNNNNNNNNNNNNNNNNNNNNNNNNNNCAUCCUAGGACAUGAGAUCAGCAGUGAUGUCAUUCAGUACAUUAUAAAGGGAAAUUGGCCCCGUUUUCUCCCCACCCCCCUCGAUUUUUUUCCUCCCACACCCCCACUAUCUCCUUGGUUUUCUCAUGAUUUUUUGUACUCUCAACCAAUGUUGAACAAAAAUAAAACUAACAUAAAUAGAGUAACCUAGAAUAAUCUUAAACCAAAUCAAGAAUUUUCUAAAAUCACGUCAUGCAAUAGCUCACUCAAUCAAAUCAAAUCUUUCUGAAAUCACAACUAAAUCAAAACUUUCCUUUCUUUCCCCUAUGAAUACCCAAAUCAAAUCAAAUCUUACGCAAAUCUAAACUAAAUCAAAAAGUUUUUGUGUAUUCAUCUAGCCAUACUCAAAUAAAAUUAGAUCUUACCAAAAUCAAGAAUAUGAUAGGUGUAAGGCAUAUGCCAUAUACAAAUAAUGUUGAACCACUAGAAUAUGUAUGACCCCAUUGCAAUGCACGAGCAAUUAGCUAGGUUUUAUGGAUUUCAGUUUUUAACACCGUACAAACCUAGAUGCUCAUACAUAGGCACAUACACUCACAUGUACCUCUAUGAACAUCUCCGAGACACUGAGAUGACACAUCAUCUUGAGAAUGACGAAGUCGUCACAAACAACUUAGGAGUUGACGGGAACGUCUUCUCCCAAUAAACACACGUUAUCAGAAGGUUUAAAAUAAAUCCAGAAAAAUGCAACAAUUAAUGUCAAGUCUAGGACUUGAACCCCGGUGGGUUCGCUCCACCAUAAGGAACCUAAUCAUCCGAGUAUGCUGUGUUCACAACAAUUACCUAAUUGUUUUGGUUGUUGUCGUGGAUCAAACCCUAUCAGAAGGAGUAAGUUGGCAAGUCAUUUUUGUUAUUUUACUGUGAAGUCAACAAUGACAUCAUCCUAGGACAUGAGAUCAACAGUGAUGUUAUUUAGUACAUGACUUAAGCAAUCAGGUUACUAGGACCGUAUACUCCACAAGGUAAUGAACUAUGGGGCACUAAUAUAGGAGUUAAAAGCACCCCAAGUCCUACAACUUGCUCACAAUGUGAUUAUUUGGUCCAAAACUUGCAAAAGUUGACCCAGCCAUCCCAUAGCUUGCACUACAUGUGACAUUUUAGUCCUGGGCCAAUCCCAAUGUGCCAAUUGGCAACCAGGUGGCUGGACCGGUCCUGGCCCGCACUUUUGUAGAAAACCCCUGCUAUUCUCUCAAUUUCACCCGCACUCCCCCCCACCUGCACUUAAUUCUCUCGGGGAGAACUCUCGCGUGUGUCCCCUUCCCUGUGCUCCCAGCUCACCGCCGCCGUCAAGGUCGUCUCUCGCCAUGGUCUACUCGAACGAUCUGCCAACCUCAUUUUGGGACGGCGAAUCAGUCAACAGUCUGGUAAGUCCUCUAACUAUGGCACCAGUUUGUCGCCGCCGUCAAGAUCGUCGCUCGCCAUGGUCCAGCUAGGGUUAGUGUUCAGACGUAGAAAUUUGUAGUGAACUGCCAUCAUUCCUCGCAAGCACCUGCCACCAUUCGCUGCUCUGAAUGGAGCAGGCUUGCUACAGAACUUGGUGCUAGAUGUGCCCACCUAGAAGUGUGUGAGAAGCUUGUGGUUUUCGAAUAUGUGGAUAGUGGCAGGAGGUUCCUAGGCUGUGCUAAGAAGGUCAGUAGCAUUUCCUCCUAAAUGUUGACAUUGAAGUCUGAAUUUUAACAGCUAACUCUGCAUUUUAACAACUAACUGUGCAUUUUGACAGCUAACUCAGCAUUUUGACAGCUAACUCUGAAUUUUAACACCUAACUCUGAGUUUGUGAACUAAAUGUUUAGAGUGAACUUAAUGUUGCACUAAAAUUUGUGCAGUUCAUUUGUUUUUUGCACGGUUUUGCCUUAACUCUAUACUAUUAUAUGUUUAAAUUUCUAGGAAUGAUCAAAAUGCAACUAUGUGAAGUCAGUUGAUGAUGAGUGGCCUCCUCAACUCAAGAUGGCUUUAUGUACCAUCUGGGACAUGUAUGAAGAUGAGAAGAGGCUUAGGCUCAGGAAAAAUAUUCCUAGUGUUGAAGAAAACUUGAAGAUGCUGAAAGAGAAGGAAAAAAUGGAAAACGAUUUGAGGUUUUUCAAGGUUAAUUUUGCUAAGAUGGUUGUUGACAAGGAGAAGGCAUUGGAACAUUUAGGUAGCACACAAAUUGCACUCUGUGACCUAAAUGAGGAGUUUGAGAAGAAGAAGAUUUGUGGCAAGUCUGUCACAAACAUUCAUCAGGUGGUUAGGGCCAAGGCACAGAAAGAGAGGGACUUGAUGAAGCAAGAGAGGGACUUGAUGAAGCAAGAGAAGGAUAAUUUGGUGUCAGAGAGGGAUAAGUUAAAGAAAGAGAAGGAGCUGGAGUACACGAUUGGUGAUCUCUUCAAACAUAAAGAGGGCACCAAGUGCAACAUAAGGAAGAUGAAGGAGAUCCUCGAUGAAUUUGAGUGAUGCAUUGAUGUUGUAUUGCUCACAUAAUUUGCAUUAGCUUUAUUUAAAUUAACCUAAGGUGAUUUCUGUGAUUUAUGUGUGAACUUCAAGGUCUUUGAUCUUAUUUGUGUAAUGGAUUAUGGAUUAUGGAUUAUGUGUGAACUUCAAGGUUUCAUGAACUUAAGUAUGUGUGAAGUUUAUUCAGUAUAGUCUAAUUUUUGGUAGAAAUGAAGGUUCGUGUUAUAUGUAAUCUGAUUUUGUUUAGCUGUAAUUUUUAACUGAAUUCUGGAAUUGACACUGUUUUGGUUAACUGAAUGCAUGCUACAUAUGGUCCAAAACAAAGAACUUUAGAGAUAAUUGGAGCACAUAGGAUUAAACCAUGGGAAUUCACAACAUAGUUGAUAACUUGAGCUAACAAGUUAACCAAAAUACUUCAGUUCUUCUAUGCUGAUAACUUGUAGAUAACUUAUAUGCUGAAUUCUAUGACUAAUCAGCAUACCUAACUACCUCCUUCUUCAAUUCUUCAGUCCAACAUCUUCAGAUGUGCUGCAUAUUAAGUUCUUCAGUUGCUUCAGACGCUCUGAGCGGCGCACCACCCCUGCAACAGGCUUCUGGACGACUUUCUUCCUCUUCUUCUUGUCAUCCACCACACCCCUAGUCCUCGUCAACCUCCAUCUUGACGAUGUCGGGCACGACUCAUAGUGGAUCCACCUAAAUUGGGAGCUCUUUGUCUCCCUCUUUGGCUUCGACGACGUCCGCAAACAGGUGCACCUCCUGCUCCUCUCCCUGCAUUUCCUGCACCUCCUCCUUGCUAGAUUGGUGCGAGUAGUCGUAGGAGGAGGAGUUGUUAGAGGAGGAGGAGUACAGGUCAUCGAACCAAUCCUUGGGGUGGAGCGUCUCCGGCUGGAAUCGAUCCCAGUAGGCGGUGUUGACGGGCGUAGGAAUGGCGAGGACGACUUCCUGGGCGUGCUCCGCCCUGGAUUCAACAUGGUGCGGGUCCGGCUGCAGCGUGGCGGUGGAACGAUGCAUCCACCAAUUGGCCCGCUGGUUGGGAUCGUCCGACCGCGUCUCUCACCUUAUGAACCGCACGAUCAUCGCAGGAGGUAGGCCGCGACCAUUGGAAACGCACGUGCCUUCUUGUCGUCGGUCAUGAUCUUGACCAGACCGCGCAUGGUUCCUCAUCAUCUAGACGCUCGGGAACCAUCGCGCGAUCUCCUUUAGCUCCGUGCGGGCGAUGUGGUCGUCUCUGGCGAGAUCUUCAACAACCCUUUGCCAUCUAAGGCUGUUAUCCAUGCCGGUGGUGACGGUGUGGAGCUAACCAGUGGGCGAUGGGUUAGAGGAGUGGCAAGGGGAGAGGCCGAGGCGUCGCGAGUGUGGUUGUAAUGAGGAGCAUUAGGUGGUGUCUUAAAGCGGCGAUAAUUGUAACGUUGGGCCGUGUCGCGAGUGCGAUUGUAAUGGGGAACGUUGGGUCAUGUCUUAAGUAGAUGAUGUAUGUUUAGUGGACAAAAGCACUACAACUAUCCCACUGGCAUUGCACUCACCGUUGUUACAAACACGCACUGGGUUCGACUCCGAGACCAACCAUUUUGGUCAACAUUUUGGACUAGUGAACAUUUUCAUUUAACUGGUCUAUAUAACAAACAUUUUGCACUAUCGAAAUCAACAUUCAGUUUGUCAAAUCAUUCAGUCAAGCCAUUUAAGUAUAUUUAGUUACAAAAAUGGCAUCCUAUGCCACUGUUUGCCAUCAAGAAGGGCAAUCUUUGCCAUACAAAAAAGCGAUUCAAAGAGUUACAACUCUUUAGGACUUACAAAAUGGUAGUGCAAAUUCUCACCUAAUGAGAGAUAAGGUGUAUCCUGUGAGACAUGCAACUCUUCAGGAGGGGCAUUCAGACCAGGAAGUUGGUUGGGCCCGUCAUCUCCAAAUAGCACCCAGUAUGCUCCUCUCCCUGAUCUUGUUUCUCUCCCUGCAUUUCCUCCUCCUGCAUCUGCGUUUCUUCCUCCUCUUCCUCUCCCCGUUCCUCUUCCUCUCGCUCCUCCUCUUCCUCUUCAUCUUGCUCCACUUGGAUUUCUUCCUGCAUCUAGACUUCUGUGUAUUUUCCUGCCUCUUGACCUGCUAGCAGCUUGAGAUCCCUCUGGCAUGUCAACUAUUGUGCUUGCCCUUGUCCGCCUAACAAUGUUCAUUUCAGUAGUGACCCUUGGCUGGGGUAUUGCAACACGUGUAGCUGCAACAAAUGAAGACUGCUCUAGCAAUUAACCAUGAGCCCUUUGAGGAGCUCUUCUUGCUCUCUCUCUGUUGGCCAUGUUGAACACCAUACUAGUUGGUGACUCACUAGGGUCCAACCUAGGAUCUGGCCUGUGUGGGAAGAUGUUCUUCAAAGAAACAAUGUCAGUUAGGCAGAGUUGAAGCUUUAUUUCUUCAGUUAUAUAACAAUUUCUACAGUUAUAACUCAUUUACCACAGUUAAAGCUCAAUACAUGCAUAAAUGAAGGGUCAUCAUAAUUUUCAUCAACAAGCUCCACUCCUUCUUCAAUUAGUGCUUCCUGCCAUCUGUAGUGGCCCUUCCUGUUGUGGUCACCUCUACCACAAAUUGAGCAGUGCAUUGUAACACCUUUUUUGUUCAAAUAUCUAGCACCAUUCUUCUUCUUCUCCUCUAGUGUCUUCUUCAUAUUCUUCUUAGGCCUCCCCAACUGUUUGGUGAACACUGGUGGAUGUACCUUAUACCUUUCUGUUUAUCCCGGUGUUUUGUGUCUCUAAGAGGGAACAAAGUGUAUCCAUAAGCUUUCACAUAGUUCUCCAUAGUGUAGCAAUCAUGAACCAUUGUUUCUGGGUCAAUUCUCUCCUCCCUACAAUAGGCUACACAAUGCCCACAUGGUAUUCGAGAUAGCUGCCAUAUCCUGCAAUCACAUGUGUGCAAGCACAAGUUAACUGUGUAGCUAGAGUUACCACAUGAUACUCUAAAUAUUUGUUGGCCUGCUUCUGAUACAUGGCAAUUUGCAGGAAACUCGGUGUUCUUCUCUAAAUUCUUCUUGAUCUUUGGGAGUAUUAUCUGCCCUGCCCACUUUUCUAUUGCCUCCCUCUGUUUACUCACCAGCCUUUCCAUAACCUUGUAGAAUAUGUACUCACGCAUAGACAAGGCAUCCAUCUCUCUCCCUCGAGAAUGUAGCUGCACAUAGAUAACAAAAACAUUAGCUUAACAUGCCAAAUGAUUUCAAAAUUUGCAAGUUUCAGUGUUUAACAGUUGAAGUAGUUUUACCUGUUAAACACUUCAGAAUUAUUGUUUAGCAGAAUGUCACAUUUGGAAUUAACUGAAAAAUGCUUUACACCAAGUCUUUGGAUCUAGUCUUUCAGUCCAAUGGAAGGCAGCUGAAUUGUGUGCAUCCAUUUUCUCACAAUUCCGUCUCCAUUUCACCAUGUUUGUUGAUCUUACAAUGGACCACAAGUCUUGCUUCAGUACCUCUACUUUGUGCUUCUCACUGAAGUUCUGAUAGAUAUGCCUCACACAAAACCUAUGUUCUGAAUCUGGCCACACUGUAUGAACAUCACUUAUCAAGCCUUUCUGCUUGUCACUCAUAACUGUGAAUGGAGCAGUGUUUGUGAUGUUCAAAUCAUCUCUUAGAGUAGUAAGAAACCACUCCCAAGAACCUUUGCAUUCUACUUCUACCCAACCCAUAGUAAUUGGGUAAAUGGAGUCAUUAGGAUCAAUACCCACGUCACUAAGCAACACUCCCUUGAACCUGCUUUUCACGUGACAACGAUCAAUGAAUAUAAUAGGUAUGCAUCCCUUUAACCAACCUCUUUUACAUGCAUCAUAUGACCAAUAAAGUGUUUUCGGACAUUUCCUACCCAUUGGAAAUUGUUUGUCUUUAACCAGAUUAGUUGAGAGAAGGAAAGUAGAUCCAGGGUUUGUACUCCUUAAUUCAUGCCCAUAAUCCCACAGCCUACUGAAUUGCUCUUCCUCGUCACCAUGGGUCUUAUUCAGGGCUUGUUUUCUAGCCCCAGCAAGCUUCCAUAUGUUAGGCGUAACAUUGAACUCCUUGGUGAUCUUCCUUGAAAAGGUACCAAGUGACAUCUUCUCGUCAUCUCCAAACUCAUCUACGAAAUACUUACACAUGAACUUUGCUAUCAGUGACCUUAACUUCCAUUUCUUCUGACACUUGUGAUGUCCAUUAUAACUCUAGAUCAUAAAUCCCCCUAUAUUGUUGUCAUUGCCACCUCUGAGAAGCCAUGGGCAACCUCUUGGACAAACUACCUCAAUUGUUAUCUUGUCAUUAUUGAUCUUCUUGAUCUGCACUCUGUUCCUAACUGAAUAUGCAGUAAUAGCAUGACUCAGCUCCACAACAUCAGCAAAUACCAUCCCUACUUUGAAGACAGGGGAAACCAUGUCAACCUUUGCACUGGAAGAUUUAAAUUUGUACUUUAGUUGCUCUGCUUCCUCAAUGGAUAGGUUAAGAUCUUCAUCCUCAAGUAAAUAGUGAGGCUCCACAUCUUCCUCUUCCUAUGCUUCUUCAUCAACACCAAAGUCAAUGUUUUCAUCAUACAUGUCAUCACCCCCCUCAUCUAUCUCAUAAUCAUUGUCACUAAAAUCUAAAUCUGAAAGCACUACAUCUUCAAUGACUGUUUGGCCACCUUCAGUAAGUAAAUUUUGCUCUACACCUUCAAUCAACAUGUUACAAUCAGCUGCUAUCUCUGAAAUGUAUUGUUCAUCAAUCACUGGAAUGAUGUUGUGGGAAGAUGUUGCACUUACUUCUGCAACACUUGAGGUGGCUAGGCUAACACUUGUAUUAAUUGAAGACAAUGUUAGUCCAAAUUAGCCUUGAAAUUGCUCACGAAAUCUGAAUGGUCAACCAUUAGUACAAGCAUCUUAUGGGAAGCACUGGAUCUGAUCAUGUGCUACAAGUUAACAUCACAUCUAAUUCUGACCAAACCAUCUGGGAUUGUUUUGUUAGGUAGGCACCAAUAUAGGAUGUGCUCACCCACUAGAUAUCCCAACCACUUCCGGUGCUCUUCAAUGAAUGCAUAGGAGAAUGAGGUAGAGUCAACAUAGUCAAGAACCUCAACACAAGGGUUAAAAUACUCCAAAUUGUUGAUUUCUCCAUAGAAAAUUCCACCAUGCUCAAGUUCAAGUGUGAAAAAACAGAACCCACAGUUCGUCCAUUUAAUGAAUCACACACUACAAAAAACAUUUACAUUAAGAUAACUGAAACAAAAAGUUGCACAAAGUUACAUUCAGAUAACUAUAGUAAAGUGACAUUCAUUUAACUACAGUAAAGUCAAAAAAUUCAGUGAACUACAACUCUUCAGUUAACUACAACAAACUCAAAAUAUUAAGUGAACAAUAUUCUACAGUCAAGUGCAUGGAAUUCAGUUAACACAAAGAAUGUAGUUAACAAAAAAAAACAGUACACUACACACAAGUGCAUAGGUGACCAAAGUUCAGCAAUUCCAUCACAAAUUCAGAACAUCAUAUUACAAAAACAUCACCAGGAGCAAAAAUGGACAAGCUUUAAGAAAAAACAUUCUUUUGCCACUAGGUGCACUGUAGAAAUAAACUUAAAAACCCCAUCAUCAUAGACACGAUCAUCCGCCUAAAACCCUAGCUAGCAUGCCAAACCACACAAGAUCCUAUAGGCCCUGAAACUAUCUUACGAUAUCAACAGAACCACACAAGAUCUAAUGCCUUGAACCUAGCUCGAGCAGAGCAGAGCCUAGUGGGGCAAAGCAGAGCACAACAGAGCAGGGCAAAGCAGGGGCACAGGAGAAGAUGGCUCACAGUAAUCCGUUGGGAAGGCACCCAACAGGCGGACAAGGUGAGCGAACGGUGGCGGCUCUGGUGGGAAGAACUCCGGCGAUGACGCUGCAGUUGCUGAUGUCAUCGGUGGACGAUGGUUGUAGCACUGUUGUCGCCCCCGACAUGACACAAUAACAUGCAAGAAACAAACCGGACGCGAAGCUUCGCUACGACAAAUUUAAUGUAGGUGGGGGAGAAUGCAGGUGAAAUAGAGAGAACGACAGGGGGUUUAUGCAAAAUGCGGGCCAGUACUGGUCCAGUCACCUAGCUUCGAGUUGGCAUGCUACGAUUGGCCUAGGACUAAAAUGUCACAUGUAGUGCAAGUUGUGGGAUGGUUGGGUCAACUUUUGCAAGUUAUGGACCAAAUCAUCACAUUCUGAGCAAGUUAUAGGACUUGGGGUGCUUUUAACUCCUAAUAUAGUGUUGAGUGCUACUUUAGAUUACACGCUGGAGUAGAGAUGUGAAGCACUACAUUUACCGAGUUCAUUGUGGUCCCCUCUUCUAUAUUCUCUCUAUCCCUCUGAUCCUUUUUCUCCUAAGCCAAUAGCUUCUCAUCUCGUCUACUUUGAUUAAUCACUUUUGCCUCCUUCUCCUCUUUCCAUCUUCUUUUCUAGCGAAGCACGUGUCUCUCCCGCAGGAUCCUGUUCGGGCCUGCAAACACCAUCUUUUUACCUUUUUCUCCACGACAUUAGGGCAUCUGACGUGUACGACUGGGGCAUUUGUACAUGAUGGAGCAUAGUUUGUUACCUAAGUACUCCUCUAAAGAGGUAGCACACCACCAUUUGUAAAUUAAUUAUUCAACGUUGAAGCUUAGUAUUACUAGUAGAAUGCCCGCGCAUUUCCACAUGCUUCUGAAAUAUUUUGCUGAGAUUAUAUAAAAUUAAUGCAUAUUAAAUUUCAUAGGUAGAGGAAAUAUAACAUCCUCACAAUUGCAUAACAAUUGAAGUCUUCACGUAUAAUAACAAAAUAGCAAAUUGACAAUGUAAACAUAUGAAGUGAUGAUCCAACUAAAACUAUAUUACAAAUGAUUGGGAUCUACUUGAUGCGCUUAAGAAAUUCUCACACAAUAUCUUGAAAGUUGUCUUUAGCUUCCUUCGACGAUGUUUGAGCAAGUAUAAUAUAAAUUGCUUCCUCAACUCAUACCUAUCCUACAAAAGGAAUAAAUGUAGUUAGCACGAAUACCUCACAUGAAAGGUCUAAAAACAUGUGUAAUGUUACAUUUCUCACCAUGCAAACUGGUUUCGAAAAGUCUUUACCUUUCCACAAUACUGAACAAAGUUUAUAUGAAGGGUUGAGGUCCUGAUUGAUAGCUAAGUUUUCGAGAUUAAAGUGCCUUUCAAAUAAUAAACCAACUAUUGAUUUCUCCUUAUUUUCAAGUCUGGAGGCAUUAAGUAUAUCUCCACUAAUUUAUCUUCCUCUUGAUAUAUUCGUCAUGCCCAUCAAUUAAUAACAUACACCGGAGAAUUUUCUUUCCUUUUCAUCCUCAACAUGAUCCUCUGGCUUAUGCAUAUGGCAAUCCUUAAUUCCAGGGACGUAUUUCCAUUAUCUCUUUCUUAGGAAAAUCAUAACCCCUGAUUGCAUGCUUCGUCAAUGUGCCUGACCAUUAUUUCCCUCCAAGGUGAUUUUUUGUUGUCACUCUAUAGUACAAUUAUGUACCACCAGAUUAAUUAUCAUUUUAGAAUUCACACUCUCCAUUUUGUGUCAUAACUGCUAAGUGUUUAAAUAGGCUACUAACUUUUCAUCCCCGCAUGAAAUGUCCUAGCAUGGUUGUUCCUAGAAGGCUCAUUUUGUUUAUGAACUUGGAACACCUAUCCAAUUAUGUGGUCUGUCGCAGACCCACCAGAGGGGAUGAAGAGAAAUUGCAUAGUAUCUUGUUGUGUCAACUUAAAAUCUUUGACCAGAAAGACAUAUUUAACACGGUAUGUAGGAUUUAUAAAGCUCCCAUGAAAAUAGUUGAGAUCAAGGAAGGCAAUCACAAGGAUGUACUAACAAAAUGUACAUCUAUCGUUAAAAAAUUAAAUGUACAUCACAUUAACAGAGACAACUUGAACAUGAUGAACGAGCUAGGAUUUUAUUAUUUAAAAAGGGCUCCUAAACUUAAGGCUGCUUCAAUGUUCAUGUGGAAGUUCUAGGAUUUCUAAAAAUAUAAUCUAUUAAUGUGUUUGCUCAUAGUUUUUUUAUAUUUUUUGAAUGGUAUAACGAUGGUAGCAUGUCUAAUGGGCUGCUUGGAUCUUGCCCGUGGCAGCCACGCCAACUCGUGGGCAAGCAAAAAAAUUGGCGAGCCUGGAUGGAGCAUGGGCAAGCCAAAUAAUUGUCUACGAUCCAGAUAGAUUCCUAGUGUGUGGUCAACGUCAAUUUUUUGGCUCGACAACUUGUUGCUCAAAACCAAACAGCCCAUAAAAUACAAUGGCACUGGAACUGAUUCUAGGCAUUGCGAGCUAGAUGCGGCACUCACAGAUGCGACAAACUCUGAUCUGUUUAUAGGAGAGGCAACGAGAGUAGGUGGAGCAACAAGAACAAUAAUAGUUUUAUAAUGGUAGCAGAAUACAAUGAUGUAGUCAAAGGAUGUAAAUAUUCGUUGCACGCAUAGACGUUUGCCUAUUUUAGGAAAAACAAUAUACCACGGCGACUCAUAUCAUCUUGCAUCGCGACCCGUGGCAAAAAUAUGCAUGCCUACGUAUUAGCCUCGUACCAGUUUUUAAAUGGGGCUCACUACUCAUUCAUGGCAGACAAUUUUUUUAACGACAUUGAAACCAAAUCAAUUAAUAAUCCGACAAUACGGUAGCAAAACCAAAGUUCAGUAAUAGCAAAACACCAUAAAGUUUCUACGUAUAUAGAAGACAACAUAUUAUCUAAUUAUUCAUAUUAAAAAUAGAUAGUUAUCGUUUCAAUGCUGAUGGAAUAUAUGUGAACUGGGAUGGGUAGUGAAAUAGGAGGUCGAUGGAGUUUAUAUAUUUAAAUUUGUCCUCUUUGACAUAUAAAUUUUGGAGAUCUAAAAUUGUCUUUCAAAUGAUGACAUCCAUCUAAUUAAAGUCAUUGUUUGAUUUCAAGUAGAAAUUAUUUCGUGACGACGUCCAAAAUUAGGUCAAAAUCGCUUUGUGAAUAAACGAGAAAAGAAAAGAAAUAUAUUUGGUGACGACCUCCCAAAUUUUAAAGGAACUUUCUUUCCUUUUCCUCUCUAUCUGAUGCAUAUGGGAACGAUUGAUUUCCUGAUUGUACAAGCAUUAUCUCUUUCGUAGGAAAAUCAUAUCUUUUGAUUGCAUCCUAUCUUAUUUUUCUAUCCCAGCCAAAGCAAAUAUUUCUAUUUUAUUAUUAAAUAAUAUAUACACCGAAUAGUUGUCCAGAAGUACGUGUAUCAUACAUUGAUAUAUACUACUAAAAGGGUACCACUCAUAGUUGGCAAUGAAAUAUGCCAUAAGUUUUUUAUACAUAUUUUAUUAAAUAUAAUACAUUAUUAAACCAAUAAAAAAGAUAUGUCGAUACUUCAAAACAUGUCACUUGGCAACGAAAUGUUGCAGGCACUAUGUUGAUACAUCUAUUAUCUACCUAUUAUAUACUUAAAAUGGUAGAAAACGAACAAUUAUGAUUAGGCAAUGACACAUUAGAUAAAAAAGUAUAGCGUUACGUAAAAAUAUUAUAGUGUACGAAUAGGUUGAUACGAGGUAUAUAGAUCUAUUAUAUACUUAAGACAAGAGGCAAACAAGCCAUACUUAAAACGAUAGAAAACGAACAAUUAUGAUUAGGCAAGUUAGAUUAAAACGUAUAGCGUUACAUAAAAAAUAUUAUAAUUUACAAAUAGGUUGACAUGUCACGUGUUACAUACGAGGUAUAUAGAUCUAUCAUUAUAUACUUAAGACAAGAGGCAAACAAGCCAUCAUGCUUCGUCCACAUAUAUUAAUGGUUGAGAUUAAAAGAUAGGAACUAUACUUAUUAUAUACUUAAGACAAGAGGCAAACAAGCCAUCAUGUUCGUCCACAUAUAUUAGCGGUUGAGAUUACAAGAUAGAAACUGUACGUAGAACAUAAAUCAUGUACAAUUAAGGUGUUGUUGGCAUGCUCCUUUAAAAAAAUGUCGUUAGCAUGCCCAAUUAUACAACAUUUCCCUAAAAAAGUCUACAACAGGACAUCUAUACCUAAUAAUAAAGCGGCUAUUGCUUUCGUCGGAAAACCCACCGCGAUAUUUUUAUAAAAAAGCCCCUGUAAUUUUUGUUAUCCAACCCGCGCUUCAUCAUUUAUCUGCAACGCAAAAGGAAAAAAAUGAUUCGCUGCAAAAAUUAUACCCGUACGCAUCUCCUCCUCCCGUCGACCCUGGGCCACCCUGGCCUGUGCCCAGGCCGCCGCCACACCACCCGCCGCCGCGGUCGACCUCAACCGCCACCGUUGCCAAUCUCAACCCCGCCGCCUCCGCGGCUGUACCUCUCCCCGCUCACUGCCCCCGUUGCGGUGCUCGAGCGCAUCGCGUCGACCCUGGUCCACCCUGGCAUGUGCCCAGGCCGCUGUCACACCACUCGCCGCCACGGCCGACCUCAACCACCACUAUUGUCGAUCUCAACCCACCCGCCUCCGCGGUCGUACCUCUGCCCGCUUGCUGCCCCCGUUUCAGCGCUCGAGCACAGCUUCUGGAUCAAAUCAACGUGACAGCUACAGUGACUGGGGAUGAUGCGUCUGCUCGAUGCAGAAAAGCGGCGGCGCGCGGAUAAGGCACGGCGGAGCGAAGUACUUGCAGGUGGAGGCGGGCCUCCAUGGCUCACGCGGGGAACUUCGAGGUUAUGGCGCGGCAACGGCGACUCCUUAUGGCCAGAUAGAGGCGACUAACCCUUUCUCCCCUCAUCGUAUCCCCUCCUCCGGCAAGAACUCAUCAUCUGGUGAGAUCCCCUCCCCAUGCCUCCAACCGUGUGCCAAGCACCGGCAAAAUUUUUUGUUUUGUGGGGAUUUGUUUGGUGAUGAAUGAAUGUAUUGAAUGUAAGAUUGUAUUGUUUGUAGAGACAGAGAAUGGAACACCACCUUCAGUUUGUCAUCUGAUCCCACAUUCUCUACCCCAUGAGUGAAAUAAGAUAACAGUCCAUUGAUCAAUUCACGUAGCCUCUUUGUUUUGCUUUGUUUGUUCCGCUCAAUUUCUCAUCUUGGUGGAAUUAACAAUGAACGAGUUGAUUUCUCAACAAAAUAGGAUAGAACUGACUACAUUAGUUAGUUAGCUUAUUAUUUUAAUAAAUCAAAAUGAUUAUAAAAAGAUUAAAAGCGUGUGGUAUUUUUUUCUCCCGUUGCAACGUACGGACCCUUUUGCCAGUUCAUAUAUAAGAAAAUACAGACAUCUCUAAGUCAUCACGUAUCUAUUGUUGAAAACAAGCAAGUCUUCGUAUCUAUUGUUGAAAACAAGCAAGUCUUCUUUUACCAGGAGACAUGCAAGAAGCCCAGGCCCAUACAAUUGACGAGCAAACUUGAUGGGGCAAACGAUAGUUUGAUCGUAUUGUACAAGGUGGAUAUAUUUAUAUAUAUUUUUUGAAAGAGUGGAGGAGUUCGGAUCGGCAUAGAUAAGUUGCAAAAUAUACAUUGUCCAUAGCAUGUACGGCAGUGCAAGCUUAAAUACUAGUAAUACGUAUCUAAAGCUAUACACGAGGACUCUUGGAACCAAUGAAAAAUGCACAACUCUACACUCGGACGCUUCGAACCAAUAAAAAAGGCACGACUCUAUUUAAGAAAAGGGGUCACACACAUACCAAAGCAACACGUCCUGGGCAUAAAAGUUUAGGAAAGCAGUGAUGGUCAACCUAUACAGGAAAAAAAUAGUUGCCAAAUUACUGUACAUUGGAGCUAACUGAAAAAACUGACUGCUAACAACAGUUCUAAAGAAAUGAAGAUGGGCAUUUUCAAAGGUAAAAUAAAUUAAUUUAUGCUCACUUAAUAAAGUCAUGUAAAAAAUUAUCAUCACAUCAUAGGAAACAAAAAUGUUAUUUUACAAUAUAAAUGUUCAUAAUUUUAUGACAAUAUAUAUGCAUAAAAGAUAUAAGCAAUGAUACAUGUUGGGGGGCUAGGGUGAUGUAUAAAUAUCAUAUUUUUAUGAACGAGAGAGUACAACCACAUAGAUACUAAGACUUUAGAGAAAUGCGUAGUGUAUGUAGAUGCAAAAAAAAUGCAAACUUUAUUAGGUAAAUAAAAAGUAACCUCUAUAUUGGGCGUACAAGUAGAACUCUAUUUUUGUAUUCGUAAAAGUACGCUAAAUCGGUAUAAAUUUGCAAAACAUGUUCAUGGGCUGCUUGAUUUUCAACACGUGUUUAAAAGUUUUAAACAUUUUUUCCUGAAAUUUUAAUUGCGGAUUAGUAAAUCAGAAGAACAUAGAACGGGGUAAGACGAAACAUGGGUAUGCGAUCCAGUAUGCGCUAAAUCAUAAAUUGUGAAUAAAACUUUAGAAAUUCAAUACUUUAUUUGAAUUUCAUAUCCCCAUAUAUAUCGCAUGUAAAGUUAAGCUACAAAAAACCUAACCAAAUGUGGCUUUAAUCUCGGCUUCUGAUAUAAUGGAGAAUGUGGUACAUUUGAACUUUUUGUAUAUGCUAAUAUAAAUCUGCAAUAUAUAAAAGGAAAAAAAUCAUAUAAAAAUUCAAUUGAAUGGCAUAAAUAGCGAUAAUUUGGACAUAUUUAACAUAAUAUCUGUGAUUUAUGUUUAAAUUCGCAGAUGAUGAAAAUGGCAUUGAAAGUUAACAAGAAUGAGCUAUGACGAGAGUCAUGCGAAUAUUUUAUUUAAUAUUAUCUGACAAAUACACACCAACGACUAUAUAGUAAAGAGAAACGAAUAAUAGAGCAAACAUUGAUCCAUGGAAGCAUCAGGAAUGUUGAUAUUCAAUAAGUCGAAAAUUCAAUUAAAACACAAAAAGCGAUGAAGUCCCUGAAGCAAGAUAACACAGUGAUAUAUUGGCACUCAAUAUUUGUUUACAAUUCUUGGCGGGGAGUUUCUGAAAAAUUUCUAUAUGCUUCAGAAAUACACAUGUUGAAUGAUUGUAAGAACAAAUCCAAAAAUUAAUAUAAAUGUGAGUGUCAUAUAUCUUCGGUCAUCACAUAGCGAGGUCUUAGAAAUUAUCUUAUAUGCUUUCAUGAAUUUUUAAUAUUAAUUUAUACAUACUUUCUCGAGACACACAUACACACUAAUUACACAGUUUUCUAAAUUUGACAUUAUAUAUAAAUGCUAAUGCUAACGUGUUAAAUCUUGAUGAAAAUACUACAAUUUGUAACUACAUGAACCAAUAUCUUGCAUGCCUAAUGAAUAGUCAUAUUACAUAUGUUUAUAAUAGAAAUCACAGUUACUUUAAUUAUGUCUUUACUUGGAAAUGUACAAUCCCAUAUGGACUAGAAAAUAUUGUGAGUGUCUUUUCUUUUACCUUUUUCAAAUUUAGGCGCAUUCGUUCAAGGUAGUAGCUCAUCACCAAGCUCAGAUCGAUUGUAGAACAGUAUAAGGAAGGCUUUCAGUCCAUCAUGCAUUUGGGGUAGUAAUCAGGUCUUUGAGAGGUACAUGAAAAUAUGUUAAGAUUCAUACGAGUCAUAACAAGGUGGAGACAACAAAAUAAAAAAAAAACACUGCUCGAGAAAGAAUGAUAUGUCAGUUAUUAGCUAGCAUGGUAACCUGUGCUGAGUUCAUAGUUGUCAAACAAUCUGUUGGACUUAAUUUAUAAUAUGCUAAAUAGAAUAGCUAUAGAAGUGGGCAAAGGUAGGUAAACACUAAAAUGGUUCUAAAAUCAAUACGAUAUAUAAAUACACAAACACAUCGACAAAUAACAAACCUAGCCGCGCAAAUGCGCGGGUGACCCCGCUAGUUUCUAUAUUAAAGACGAAAUGUGUACUUUUGUAUAGAUAGAUAAUUCUAGCAUCCAUUGUUCCUAGCAUGAACAAUAUCAUUGGCAUACGCAUGUGUUUCAUCAAGUGUCGUGAGGCUGGCUUUAUGGAUAUCUACGAUAAUGAUUAGUGUUAGUAAUGACAUAAUAUUACAGAAAAUGAUGCAAUGCCAACAAAUUUAAAAUAGUACGUAACCCCUACUUUGUAGAUGAUGAUCAUCAUCAUCAAUGUGAGUAGAGAAGAAGAAUGUGUUCACCCUCAUAGUCUGCAAGCAUUUGUGCCUCAGAUUUAAUUAUACGUAAGUAACAACAAGCUUCUCGAACACAUUUUAGGUGUGUUGCAGAUGGUAGAAGUGACAACCGAUGUUCUCCUCACAUACACGUAGGAAACUUAUCUACCAUCUACAAACAAAAAUAAAUAUUAGUUUAUGUUCGAAACAAUAAAAUUAAAAGAAGCAUAUGAAAAUCUCAAAUUCUAAAUGGCCCAUACCGAAAGUUCAUGAGGCCAAUCUCAAGGAAAGGGAUGUGACAUCUAUAUAUUGACUCCAACCACUAGUAUAAAAGAGGGCCUUGGUCCAUGGCCUGCAAUCCCAUUAGUCUCGGUUUACCCACGAGCCGGGACCUAUUGAUGACCCACAAGUAUAGGGGGUCAAUUGUAGUCCUUUCGAUAAGUAAGAGUGUCGAACCCAACGAGGAGCAGAAGGAUCUGACAAGUGGUUUUCAGCAAGGAAAUAUCUGCAAGCACUGAAAUUAUCGGUAACAAGUGAUUGUGUGGUGAGAUGAUUCGUAGCGAGCAACAAGUAACAAAAGUAGCAACGGUGCGGCAAAGUGGCCCAAUCCCUUUUGUAGCAAGGGACAAGCCUGGACAAAGUCUUAUAGCAGGAAAAACGCUCCUGAGGACACACGGGAAUUUCUGUCAUGCUAGUUUUAUCAUGUUCAUAUGAUUCACGUUCGUUACUUUGAUAGUUUGAUAUGUGGGUGGACCGGCGCUUGGGUGCUGCCCUUACUUAGACAAGCAUCCCACUUAUGAUUAACCCCUCUCGCAAGCAUCCGCAACUACGAAAGAAGAUUUAAGACAAGGUCUAACCAUAGCAUUAAACUAGUGGAUCCAAAUCAGCCCCUUACGAAGUAACGCAUAAACUAGGGUUUAAGCUUCUGUCACUCUAGCAACCCAUCAUAUACUUACUACUUCCCANNNNNNNNNNNNNNNNNNNNNNNNNNNNNNNNNNNNNNNNNNNNNNNNNNNNNNNNNNNNNNNNNNNNNNNNNNNNNNNNNNNNNNNNNNNNNNNNNNNNNNNNNNNNNNNNNNNNNNNNNNNNNNNNNNNNNNNNNNNNNNNNNNNNNNNNNNNNNNNNNNNNNNNNNNNNNNNNNNNNNNNNNNNNNNNNNNNNNNNNNNNNNNNNNNNNNNNNGAAAAACAACAUACAACAUAUCAAAAUACCGAACGAAUACCAAAUUCACAUGACUAUUAUUAGCAUGACUUAUCCCAUGUCCUCGGGAACAAAAGUAACUACUCACAAAGCAUAAUCAUGUUGGAAAUAUGCCCUAGAGGCAAUAAUAAAUUACUUAUUAUUAUAUUUCUUUGUUCAUGAUAAUCGUUUAUUGUCCAUGCUAUAAUUGUAUUGAUUGGAAACACAAUGCUUAUGUGGAUACAUAGACAAAACACUAUCCCUAGUAAGCCUCUAGUUGACUAGCUCGUUGAUCAAAGAUGGUCAAGGUUUCCAGACCACAGGAAAGUGUUGUCACUUGAUAACGGCAUCACAUCAUUAGGAGAAUNNNNNNNNNNNNNNNNNNNNNNNNNNNNNNNNNNNNNNNNNNNNNNNNNNNNNNNNNNNNNNNNNNNNNNNNNNNNNNNNNNNNNNNNNNNNNNNNNNNNUAGAUCGGAAAUCCCCUCUCGUAGAUGGACAUCACCAUGAUAGGUCUUCGUGCGCGUAGGAAAUUUUUUGUUUCCCAUGCGAUGUUCCCCAACAGUGGCAUCAUGAGCUAGGUUCAUGCGUAGAUGUUAUCUCGAGUAGAACACAAAAGUUUUUGUGGGCGGUGAUGUGCGAUUUGCUGCCCUUCUUAGUCUUUUCUUGAUUCCGCGGUAUUGUUGGAUCGAAGCGGCUCGGACCGACAUUACUCGUACGCUUACGAGAGACUGGUUUCAUCGCUACGAGCAACUCUGUUGCUUAAAGAUGACUGGCGAGUGUCGGUUUCUCCAACUUUAGUUGAAUCGGAUUUGACCGAGGAGGUCCUUGGAUGAGGUUAAAUAGCAAUUCAUAUAUCUCCGUUGUGGUGUUUGUGUAAGUAAGAUGCGAUCCUACUAGAUACCCAUGGUCACCACGUAAAACAUGCAACAACAAUUAGAGGACGUCUAACUUGUUUUUGCAGGGUAUGCUUGUGAUAUGAUAUGGCCAACGAUGUGAUGUGAUAUAUUGGAUGUAUGAGAUGAUCAUGU